CCAGUCACAUCCCCUUAUCACUUUUCCAGCCCAGCUUUCUAACUCGAAGUGUUGGACGGAGAACUGAUAAGGGUAGGUGACUGA
ensembl:miRNA